ACAGGUUAAGUCACACACACGUCCACACAAUGCUGACGGGCAAUGACACUGCUGCUCUUUGAUGUGUAGCUAACUUAAGAAACACACUUGUACUGCUGUGACGUGCCCGACAUAUCAUCUCACACAUGGUAUGUGCACCGCCGGCCCCGCGCUGAACUCGAAACACACAGGCACAUGCACAUGCACAGACACAUACACAUAUACAUACACACACACACACACACACGUGCAAACACAGACACACACCAGUAAACCAACUCUUCACCCAUUUUUAACAAACUGAGUUAGCUCAUUUGGAUAAUUUCAAACACAGCGGUUAGAAAUUUUGUGAUGUAUUAAUAAAUGAUUAGUCUGAAUAUCGAACAUCUGUAGAGAGCACAGUAAACUGCAGUACUUUUGUAUACAAACUCUGUGAGAUUUCAGAUGAAAUCUAUAUUGUUUUGAAAUGGUGUGGAAUUUUUCUCUUUCACUAUUUCUGUAGAUAGGAGCCAACACUUUUCUCUAUUGUAGUUAGUUGCAAAGGGCCAACACUCCCCCCCCCCACACCAAAUACACCUCCCACCCUCACCCCACCCCCUUUCCCUCCCUCCGUUGUUCAAGCAUGCCAUCAGAUUAGCCUGAUCUCUGGUUUCAGCGCUAAUUGUGCUCAUCCACUCAAGAAGCUGACAGACUCUCAAGUGAGGAAAGGCUCAGGCUUGGGUGGCUUGCCAGUCAUCUAUCAUCAGCUAACAGAUCCCUUACAAGAGCCCUGUACAUCAGCCAUAUAAAACUACUACUGAAUGAGCCUCUAAUGUUAGCACUACUACCUGAGUAGCUACCAUCACACAACCUGCAUGGUUUAAAUCACAAUUAGGCUAGUGUCCUCAAACCAUGCUUUUUUUUUUUAAAGCCAGUGUCUUCUGUUGCAUCAUUAUUAUAUUGCACAUACUGCUAUAAUUUUCCCAAUUUUCCAGCUAAAUUCUACCACCUAACUUAGUUACAAGACAAUAUCUUAAGUACAUGCCAAUAGAAGUUUGCAUCCCAUGAGACCAACCAAAAAAAAGGGAGUUGGUGGAUUUUACUUCUAUGUGGAUUGUUAGAUACGAAGCUAGUACAACAAAUGCAGGGUAUGCUGAUUACCAAAUGGGUUUAUUGCACAUGCCGUGGCACUGUAAAAUUUAUUUACCAAGUUCAUUUAUUCAUCUUCAUUAACUGCUUUUUCUUUAAAUUAUUAGGCUGUUUAACCUAAAAAGUAAAAGUAAAACUAACCAAAUUUCUUUAAGAAAAUAUUGUGGGUGGGUACAUACAAAAGUAAGUGCUAGAGCAAUCAAGAUGGGUCAGAAUUCCUUUGGAAGCAGGCAGCAGUGGGAAUAAAAAAAAUCUUGUGCACAUACCUCUUAAUUGUGUAUAAAUUCUAUAAAGUACUUCAAUUGUCUCAGUCCUGUUAGUUUUGUCUUUACUCACCAAAAUAUUUGCUAAACAUUACCUACAUCAUAUCAGACAGAACACAUUUUUAUAGUAAUGUCAUAUUUUACGAUGACAAAAAACAGUGGUGACAAUUUUUAAUUAAAAUUUGAAUGACUGGAUUUAAAGUGUGAGGAGAGACAAUAAAAGCAGAGAUGUGCCCAUCCACUGACAGAUUCCCAUGUUUUUAUUUAAGACCUGCUCCAGUGUGCUAACUGCAUUAAUGAUGUUAUAAAGAAUUAUGAGGUGAAAUCAAAUUUGCCUCGCCACUUGAGCACCACUAAAAUGCCAAACAAUAAACUACCAGAUUGCAAAUUAGAUCAGUAAAAAUAUCAAACACAUUGCGGUGGUGAAAAGAGGAGGGGGGGUUCCAUAAUUGCAUUUAGUGUCUGGACCCUAGGGAACAGAGACACUAAAGAUCAUCAGGGCUCAGUGCUUGAACCUGCUAUUGACAGUGCACUAAAAAUCGACAGGCUAACUAAAUAAACACUCCUGGCUCCAUUAAAUAUUCAACAGUUCAGAUUUGACUAAACUGUCUAUGUUUUGCUUGUUUAGGUCCCCGUGGAGUCGCUACUCUUUCUACUGCACUCCAGGACACUUUCUCUCAACUCCUUCCACCCCUUUUUUGUCUCUCCUUACUGCCACAAUACACACCCCCCAACCUCCAUCCCCAACACACACAUACACACACACAUACACACACACACACAUACACACACACACACACUCAUCAACCCAUCUUUUUUUCACCAUCCUUGACUUUUGACAGCAAUAAAUCAUGUGGAACCUGAGAGUCUGACUCUAAAGGGAAGGGACAGGGACAGGGCCUGCCGAAGAAAAGCAAUACAACAGAGACAGCAAAUGACCAAUACUCAUCACACUGGCACUAAGGCAAAGAUCAGUGACAUUAAAUAAACAUCCCCAAUACCUUGUGCUGCAAAGAUGGAAGAUCAGUCACACAAACACACACAUCCACACAACCUACCCAGCAUGCUAGGUGCCUCGAGGAAACUGGAUUGAUGUGCGCAUUGUAAAGCGCCAAGUCUUAGUUUGAUGGAUGUUUGUGGUGUUGCAUUACCUGCUGAUCAUAGUGAUGCCAUAGUGCUUAUAUUAAAUAAGCUAUUGGCACCUAUGCAGAACCAAGCUCAGUUUCACUAACCAAUUUUACAAACAGCAUGGCUAAAAACAGAUCUAAGAACAGAUCCCCCAAAUUUGAUUUAGACUCCUGAAAUGCACCAUACACAUUAGACAGCCAGUUUAAAUACAUGGUUACUCCUUUCUGAAGAUGGACUAAAAGAGAAAGCAAAAGUCUUGUGGCUCUCAGCUUCUGUGUCUUUGCUCACCUGCUUCCCCGUGAGGGGGUAACAGCCCUUAUGCAAAUGAGCAGUGACAAGGUUAUUGUGGAAUGAAUAUCAAUCGAGUAAUUACAGCACAUGCAGCCCUCCUCUCCCCACCACUCCUGCCUGUCUUCAUCUCUCAUCCCAGCUGCAGAUCUCCCUCGGGGCGAAAAAGAUGGCCACCACUCUCUCUGGAUCCAAAGCUAAUAAUGGAGGCUCUGGUGUGGGCACUGAGGGAGGCAGCCUGCGGGUCCAGAGACGCAGACGUGGCUAAACGCAUCUAAGUAUCCCACCAGAGUAUCACAGCACAGAAAACUAGCAAGCAGAAUGUACAGGCCUCGAAUCUAAGAACUGCAACCCCUACAACACCCAGAAUCCUGGUAUUUAGACAACAUAGCAGUGCAACCUCGGACAGCUCCAGAUUUUUAAGCUAGUGCACAUGCAGCCAAGGGCUGGUCUAACAGUAAUGCUGGGUCAGAUGCUGCACAUCUAGCCACCAAGUCCAGGGCCCGACUGGUGCUGCUGGCAGAGGACUAUUAUAUGCAUGAUCUGCUGCUGCAGGUGCUAAAUCCAGUAGUCAAAAUGGCACCCCAGCAUUCUAAAAUGUCAUCAGCAUGGCAGAAUUAUCAAGUGCCAUUGUGGAGUCAGCCCAACACCUGAAUGUGUUUGAGAAACUGUGAUUCCACUGGGGCUUUGAAAUGUCAGCCGCUUCUGCAAUUACUCACCAGCCUCUGGUGGUUUGCCACUGCAGGGCAACUUUCUCUUUGGAGGAAGACAGCUCAGACAUGAUAAACAUGCUGAAGAAUGUUUGCUCACUUCAGAGCAAGCUCUCUCUGACCUUCACAAAGUCAGCUCUCCACAUGCUACAUUAUUCAGGUAACAAUCAUUACUCAUUUCAUCAGGUAUUUACUUUGCAAUUGGAAACAUUUUGAGAAUGCAUAUAGAAUAAUGGAAGUACAAUAGUAAAGUGGAAGCAAAGUAUAUUCAACAGGAAUGCUGCCCUAAUAAGGGACACAAAGACAGAAUUGUUUAUCAUUAAAGUAUCCCAGUGAGUAAUUCAAAGCAGACCCUGCACCCAAAACUUGUUAUAAAAAACCGAAAGGCCUGCAGUGAAAACAUAUUCUCUCACACACAUUUAUGCACAGACGUACCCACACCCACCCUUUCUCCAUAUCAUCAAACCACAGCAUCCAGUCACGUUCUGCCAUGUCCCCUCCAUUUUCCCUGCAUGCUCCUACAUGCAGCAUAUACAGGGUACUGUGCAUUACUUAAGACAAAUGUUGUUGUUCCUUCCUGUUUUAUUUAUCUCAUCAAUAAUCCUGAUAAGUUAAAACAUUUUUUGCUAUCCUGUUUUAGAGCCACAUGUUUUUUUGCUUACAAAUAUCAAAGACAAGGGGGUAAAUAAUUACUGUAAAUAACAAAGGAGCAGAGAUGGAAAAAAUACAGCAAGAAAUGCAACUUGAGACUCAAACGAUCAUUGAUUGCAGGGGCAAAGUAAGAGUUUCCAUUUGUGGUUGCCAAGGCACCGUUAAAUGUUAUGGGCACAUCAGGGCCUGCUGGUCACUGCUGAGGGGAGAAUGACAUAUAACAAUAAGCAGAACCACUCUUGGACUGCACGGACCCCACGCUUCAAAAGACUUUGGUUCCUGCGCAGAAAAACAUCAAACACCACAACAUGGCAGAAUUGCCGUCAGCAUAAUAUCAGAGUUCUGCCUUUAUAGCCAAAGAGAAGAGCUCAGGACCUUCUUCACUCCAAAAGGAUGCAGAAACAUCAAAUAAAAAAUUCUGCAUAUCCUCAAA